CCUACGGGAGGCAGCAGUGGGGAAUAUUGCACAAUGGGGGAAACUCUGAUGCAGCGACGCCGCGUGCGUGAAGAAGUAUUUCGGUAUUUAAAGCUCUAUCUGUAGGGAAGAAAAUGACGGUACCUGAUUAAGAAGCCCCGGCUAACUACGUGCCAGCAGCCGCGGUAAUACGGAGGGGGCAAGCGUUAUCCGGAUUUACUGGGUGUAAAGGGAGCGUAGGCGGCAGCACAAGUCAGGAGUGAAAUGCCGGGGCUUAACCCCGUAACUGCUUUGGAUACUGUGCAGCUAGAGUGCAGGAGAGGUAAGUGGAAUGCCUAGUGUAGCGGUGAAAUGCUUAGAUAUUAGGAGGAACACCAGUUGCGAAGGCAGCUUACUGGACUGUAACUGACGUUGAGGCUCGAAAGCGUGGGGAGCAAACAGGAUUAGAUACCCUUGUAGUC
rnacentral:rRNA from 1 species